ensembl:lncRNA
CCAUUUAAUUACCGCAAUAAAAGUAAAGCAAGAACCCCUUCUCUGGCCUCGCCGUGACAGAGUCCUGGUCUCUCUGUCAGUCAUGUUUGUUGCGAGGGGAGUGAUGAUGCUAAUUAUGAGUGUGAUGCAUCCACAGGAUAUUGCAGCCAUGGUGCUUAGUUGGCAGUGUGGACAGGUGGCAUCUCAUGCAUAUUCAUGGACCAGCCCUCGUUCGCUGACAGCACCGGUAUGACAGAGAAAUGGUUGCUGGCUUACAGAAAGAAAGUGCAGAAAGCAUUGACAUGCAGCGUGCAUCAACAAUUUGACCCCAACCCACUGAGGUCACAAAACAAGUCGAUGCUUUCCUGCUCUGGCUUUUUCCUGAUGCCUGAAAUGUUUAGUUUGACUCAACUGCUUUUGAGAGAAACCGCAGAACUCUGGAUAUAACAAACAUAUGCUAAAAGUGCCUGGAUGUUUUUAAUAUACGAAUGAUGAGUCUUACCUUUAAGGCUUUGCUUUGUUUCCUUCCUUAAGGAGAGGGGUGAAAAUGGAGAGCAUUUGUCAUGUAGCAUGUGUUUUAAAACUCAUUUUAAUUUAUUUUGAGGCUAAAUUAAAUGUUCGUUUUAUUUCCAUUUUUAUUGUUAUUAUUUUUGUAUUUUGUCUGUUUGUUUGUUUUUGUUGUACAGUACUUUGUUUAAUUCAAUGUAAAUGUAAAUCCAAACUAAAAAAAAAUAAAAAAUAUGGGCUGGUAAAAACAGGGCAAGGAUCGAAAAUUAACUUUUUGCCAGACCUGCCAAUGUUGAGUAAAUGAAUAAAAAUAUACAAAUAUUCACUGACAAAGAAACUGGAUUUUGCAUUAUUAGAUUUUAUUAUUAUAUUUUUCUUUAUGACAACAGAAUUAUUGUAAUAUUGCAUAUUAGUGACAAACAGUGUAGGCAUUAAGAUGAUUUGACAAGAUUUUGCUAAUAAUAUAUUCAAUUUGUUGGCUUAAUUCCAGAAAUAUUGUGCAUAUGUGUCACCACAUGGAGUUUUGGCGAAAACAAGCAAACAAAAAGAUUACAUUAGACAUUAAUUCAGGCAUCAUGGUUAAAUAUAAAAAGUGAAAAAUGUAUUUAUUUAUAUAACAGGUUUUUACAUAUACUUUGAUAGCCGAAAAAGGUAAACUUAAUGUAAAUGUGCAAAGAAAAUAUUCUCCAGAUGAUAUUGUGUUAAUAUGCAUUGAAUUUAGCACAGUGACAAUAUAGAGCUAAUUAUUUAAUUUUUGGGAACAGCAUGGUAUUUUUAGGACCCUGCAAUGGACUGGGCAUCCGUUCAGGUGUACCCUGUCUGUGGCCCAAGAUGGAGAGGCUCCAGCCCCCUGCGAACCUGCAGAAGAUAAGCGGAGAGUAAAUCUUGAAGUCAGCAUUACACAGUGAAACAGGAUUUGUGGGGAAUUUGAAUCACUUACAGAUCAAUAUACAUUCUCAGCAGUCCUGCCUUCAGGAAUGAAUGCACAUGGUACACAUUAUGCCCUCAGAGACCCACCUAUAACAUGUUUCUCCAAACAGAAACCAACCACCUUCACUGAUCCUCUUGUGUUGAAUUCUAACCACAUUAAACAAUUACUGGGCCUCAUUAUGUCUGCAAAUGAAUGGCACAGAGAAGCAUCUGAGAACAGCUCAUCAUUUUUAAAGAACUUCAAAAGGAUGGGGUUACCUUCUGGCUCGGUGGAAAACUUUGAUGUCUCCACGUCCCAUCAGUGAUGCGCUUCUUUCAUGUUACAGAGGCAGUUUAUUGAUUUUAGAUAAACCAAAUGAGACCAUUAAUUAAAUCAGGCUUCAUACUCCCUGACAUCUGUGUUGCAUCAUUGAAUAUCACCAGCACCCAGGUACUGUUGUUCUUGUAAUAACGUAUGGGCUUUCUCAAUGAACAUGACAUUAGACACACCAGACUGUGCAUUUUGGGGUAUAUGCAUAAAUCCUUUAUCGUAAACCUAACUAUGGAGCAUGUAGACAUACUUGUCAUUAUGUACUAGGUAUUUGGUACAACACAGAUCCUCCCUGGAUCAGGACGUAGCUCCAAACUAGAUGAAAGAGCCAAGAGGAAACUGGUCAGGGAGAAUACCAAGAGGCCUACAGCAACGCUGAAGCAGUUGCAGGAAUUUAUGACAAAGAGUGGUCAUUGUGUGCAUGUGACAACAAUAUCAUAAAUUUUCCACAAAUGUGACUUGUAUGGAAGCAUUGCAAGAAAAAGCCAUUCCUCAAGAAAGGCCUCAUGCAGUCU